UGGGGGAUAUUGCACAAUGGGCGAAAGCCUGAUGCAGCGACGCCGCGUGGGGGAUGAAGGCCUUCGGGUUGAAAACUUCUUUUGCUCUGAACAAGGCAUGCCUUUGGGGUGUGUUGAGUGUAGGGGUUGAUUAGCGCCGGCUAACUACGUGCCAGCAGCCGCGGUAAUACGUAGGGCGCGAGCGUUGUCCGGAAUUAUUGGGCGUAAAGGGCUUGUAGGUGGCUGGUUGCGUCUGUCGUGAAAGCUCAUGGCUUAACUGUGGGUUUGCGGUGGGUACGGGCUGGCUUGAGUGCAGUAGGGGAGGCUGGAAUUCCUGGUGUAGCGGUGGAAUGCGCAGAUAUCAGGAGGAAUACCGGUGGCGAAGGCGGGUCUCUGGGCUGUUACUGACGCUGAGGAGCGAAAGCGUGGGGAGCGAACAGG
rnacentral:rRNA from 1 species